CCGAUCUCGAAAACCUGUCCCAGUUCGGACUGGAGUCUGCAACCCGACUCCACGAAGUUGGAUUCGCUAGUAAUCGCGCAUCAGCCAUGGCGCGGUGAAUACGUUCCCGGGCCUUGUACACACCGCCCGUCAAGCCAUGGGAGCCGGGGGCGCCUGAAGUCCGGGACCGCGAGGACCGGCCUAGGGCGAAACUGGUAACUGGGGCUAAGUCGUAACAAGGUAGC
rnacentral:rRNA from 1 species